GACGAACGCUGGCGGCGCGCUUAAUACAUGCAAGUCGAACGGAAAGGCCUGCUUUCCCUUGUGGAUUGCGGGUACUCGAGUGGCGAACGGGUGAGUAACACGUGAGUGAUCUGCCCCCAACUUGGGUAUAAGCCUGGGCAACUGGGUCUAAUCACCGAUAGGUCUGUAGGGUGGUGCUUGUGGUGGCAACCGCUUCUCUAGUGGUUGGGGCUGAGCUUGCGGCCUAUGUGCUUGUUGGUGGGGUAAUGGACUACCACGGUGGCGACGGGUCGGCGGGCUGGGAGGGUGGACGGCGACAUUGGAACUGGGAUACGGCCCAGACUCCUACAGCAGGCGGGAGUGGGGAAUAAUGGACGGUAGGCGGAAGGCUGAAGCAGCGGCGCGGGGUGGAGGAUGACGGCCUGCGGAGUGUAAACGCCUGACGAGCGCGAGGGAGCGACCUGGAUGGAAGGGUGGUGACGGUAGUGGUAGAAGAAGCACCGGCUAACUACGUG
rnacentral:rRNA from 1 species